rnacentral:tRNA from 1 species
GAGGUUGUGGCUUAGUGGUAGAGCACUUGCCUAGCAUGUGUGAGGCACUGGGUUCAAUUCUCAGCACCACA